GCGAACGCUGGCGGCAGGCCUAACACAUGCAAGUCGAACGGACCCUUCGGGGUUAGUGGCGGGCGGGUGAGUAACACGUGGGAACGUGCCUUUAGGUUCGGAAUAGCUCCUGGAAACGGGUGGUAAUGCCGAAUGUGCCCUUCGGGGGAAAGAUUUAUCGCCUUUAGAGCGGCCCGCGUCUGAUUAGCUAGUUUGUGGGGUAAUGGCCCACCAAGGCUACGAUCAGUAGCUGGUCUGAGAGGAUGACCAGCCACAUUGGGACUGAGACACGGCCCAAACUCCUACGGGAGGCAGCAGUGGGGAAUCUUGCGCAAUGGGCGAAAGCCUGACGCAGCCAUGCCGCGUGUAUGAUGAAGGUCUUAGGAUUGUAAAAUACUUUCAGACGGAAAGAAAUCGGGCGCGUGAAUAGCGUGCCUGGAUGACGGUACUGUCAGAAGAAGCACCGGCUAACUACGU
rnacentral:rRNA from 1 species